rnacentral:misc_RNA from 1 species
GUCCCAACUUGAUCUUAGCUAGGGAAUAUGUGCAAAGAGAAAGGGCGAAUAAAUGAUUAGAUAGUAGGGACGGUAGUUAUAUAUAGCUGUCUUUCCAGUAAAAUUGUGCCACUUGUCGUUCUCAGUGUAGGUUUAUUUUUUUGUUUAGAAGGUAAAAAGUAUUUCAUUAGCAGGGCUAAACAUAUGAAAUUACAUGCAAGAUAAGAGCAAGGUUUAAAGCCCAAAGAGAUACAAUAGUAGCCCCUAGCAAAACUAUACCUUG